UUGUUGACACAUAUGGGGUGGUGAAACGAGAAUGUUGAGUAGAAGUUUGAGAUAAAAUAGAACUGAGCCAAGGUUUAAAGUAACUGAAACUGGCUAACAGUCAACUUAGAUUAAAACUAUGGAAGAUACAACAGCAUUUUGGUGGCUAAUAAGAGAAAUAAAAUCUAUGUAGUAGAGCUUGUUUUUAUUGGGGCCAUUGGGAAGGUUUAUCAAGCCUUGAGUUAUACCAUUGGUGGUGGCCAUCCCCUAUCAUAAGGGAAACUAAGAUUUCUCAAUUGUAAGCCCGUCUUAACUAGACUAAGGGAAACUAAACUAAGGGAAUAAGGAAAUAAGCUGGUCAAGAGAUACCCAGCUGCUGAAACUGAGAGAUUCUUAGAUAGACUCACUCAACUACGUUAUUGUAAACCAAGCCAAUCAAAUCAUUCCACAUCAUUCAAUGUUUAUCUAUAAUUAUAUAAACAUGAAAAAAUAAUUGAAAAUUAAAUUACAUGUUUAUUCAUGAAUACAACAAAUCUCUUAAUACUUCAUUUUUCAAUUACUAGUCUUGCACAAAAAGGCUUUUGGCAAAAUAAGGUGUAGGUGUUCAUUGUAUUGAUAUAUUGCAUAUUUAGUUAUAUUCUUGGUUUAAUUUUAACCAUCAUUUUGCUGCUUGUGUGAAAGAAAUUUAUGGCAGCAGUGAACUAUUUGGUUUAAUUCUAUGACAGCGUCAGUGUGACCAAUUUCAUCAUUGAUUCUAUUAUUUAAAACCCUUGGAAAAACUGUAAAUUGGACCUUUUCUUUUUCCAAUGAAAGUAACUACCUUUUUUUCUUUAAACAAAAUACCCUGGUUUCCAACCAUUGAACCAAAUGGGCCACUAGAUUAGAGUGAGAAGCUGCUUACAGAAAUGAAAUACAAUGAAGUGGUGAAGAGAUUUACACGGGUAUGUAUGUGUCUAUGUCAUAAGGUUAACACGAAUGUAUAUGUGUACGUGCCAACUCGGUGACAUAUUUGCGUAUGUCUCUUCAUGCUAAAUGCAUAUGUAUUUAUUUGGCAAUCAUUAUUUUAUAUGCAUUUUAGAGCAGGCUGGCAACUUUGCUGUGACAGAAGUAAUAACCUUAAUGGAGGCCUCCGGCAUCUCCAUCAAAUCAAGUCCUCUGAAUGAGAGUUUACUUAGGAGAUACAGUGUCAAAUUAGCAUCUACAAGUUCUGUAAGCCAAAAUGAGCCCUGCUUCUUGACAAUGAGCGUAACUAAAUAAAUUUUGGAUGCUGGAUUGCUAACUCAAUUUUUUUGAAGGAUGUAUGCAUGGGAACCCAAUUGCUCUUUGUAGACAUUAUGGAUGCAUUGGGAUUAGUCUUAAAGCAAUUACGUGGCCAGAAAAUUUCAAGAAGGCAACGAAGGAAGUUGAAGAGAACUCUUACUGACAUUGCUACACUUAUCCCAAUUACAAUUUUAAUGCUAAUUCCUGUAAGACCUUAUCAGUCCUUUCUCUUUGCAAAUUCUGUCUUAACUGGUGAUGUUUGAGAACUGACUAAAUGCAGUAGCUAGUUACUCAUGUAAGACCAUUCUUGAAAAAAGUAGCUUGCCAAAGUUUUCUUGUAUUAACUCUUCAACAAGUUAUGCACAUGUAUGGGACUUCUAAUCACUCACUGCUGAGUGUGUACAACUUCUUAGCCAAGUUCAGAAGUUACGAAAAACAAAUUGAAUGAUGGAACCUUUCACUCUACACAAAUUACAUGCCUCUGCAUUAUAUGAUUUCCUCUAUUAUUUGGAUUCUUGUUAUCAGCUUUACAGUACCAGACAACGAGUGUCAUCUAUUCUGAGAGAAAUGCAUUCUAUAGCAAAUUUAGUUGAUUCUAGUUUCUUUCUUGCAUGCAACGGCCAUGUAAUUUCUGAAGUGAGUAGCGCAUUAGUGAGAUAUUUUGGUUGAAUCCUUCAUAACACAAAUGCAUUGAUAAUUAGCACUGCUGCUGUUAGACUCGCAAUGUAGUUAGUUGAAAAUUACUACUUUUUUAUACCAUUUCGUAAAGGUGAACUCAUAAAGCCACAUAUCUGGAUACCCAUGCUCAUAACUUGGAAAACUUGAUAUGUUGAUGAACUAACAAGAGAGUUUACUUUAAGCGAAAGUAGAGCAAUCCUUGAAAAGAAAUGAUUCAUUCUUAAUGCCCUCUAAAUCAG
rnacentral:misc_RNA from 1 species